GACGAACGCUGGCGGCGUGCUUAACACAUGCAAGUCGAACGAUGAACCCGGAGCUUGCUCUGGGGGAUUAGUGGCGAACGGGUGAGUAACACGUGAGUAACCUGCCCUGGACUCUGGGAUAAGCGUUGGAAACGACGUCUAAUACCGGAUAGGACCUUGGAUCGCAUGAUCUGGGGUGGAAAGUUUUUUCGGUCUGGGAUGGACUCGCGGCCUAUCAGCUUGUUGGUGAGGUAAUGGCUCACCAAGGCGUCGACGGGUAGCCGGCCUGAGAGGGUGACCGGCCACACUGGGACUGAGACACGGCCCAGACUCCUACGGGAGGCAGCAGUGGGGAAUAUUGCACAAUGGGCGAAAGCCUGAGGCAGCAACGCCGCGUGCGGGAUGACGGCCUUCGGGUUGUAAACCGCUUUUAGUAGGGAAGAAGGGCUUCGGCUUGACGGUACCUGCAGAAAAAGGACCGGCUAACUACGUG
rnacentral:rRNA from 1 species